rnacentral:rRNA from 1 species
CCCUUAGAUGUCCUGGGCCGCACGCGCGCUACACUGACAUGUUCAACAAGCCUCCUAGUUCGACAGGAUUUGGGAAAUCUUUGAACGCAUGUCGUGAUAGGGAUAGAUCAUUGCAAUUAUUGAUCUUGAACGAGGAAUUCCUAGUAAACGCGAGUCGUCAGCUCGCAUUGAUUACGUCCCUGCCCUUUGUACACACCGCCCGUCGCACCUACCGAUUGAAUGUUUCGGUGAAGAUUCCGGAUAGGACUUUUUUGAUUUAUUUCAAUUUUGUCUUAAAAGCUAUCUAAACCUCAACAUUUAGAGGAAGGUGAAGUCGUAACA